AAAGAACACAGUGGUUCUUAACCUGGAGUCCUCAAACGGGGGGCCCGGCCGAUCCACUGGGGGCCCCGGCCCGGCCGAUCCACUGGGGGGAGGGGUACCCCAGUGGGAUCAGUCACACACUUCAAAGUGUACACUAUAUUAACGUUAGGGACCAGUCACACACUUCAAAGUGUACAGUAUUUUAAUGAUCGGAUAAAUCAGGCGUACAUCAAGUAUACAACAGAAUACUAACAGAUCUAGAAUCAGAGAGAAGACAUGAUCAGUUUCUACAUUACCCCCCCAGACGGAUCACAUCGACAUGAUCCGUUUCUACAUUACCCCCCCAGAGGGAUCACAUCAACAUGAUCAGUUUCUACAUUACCCCCCCAGACGGAUCACAUUGACAUGAUCAGUUUUCAGGCAUGUUUCACGGUUAGUAAAGAGAGAACAGGGGCACGGGAGAGAAAACAGGGGCACGGGAGAGAAAACAGGGGCACGGGAGAGAAAACAGGGGCGCGGGAGAGAAAACAGGGGCGCGGGAGAGAAAACAGGGGCGCGGGAGAGAAAACAGGGGCGCGGGAGAGAAAACAGGGGCGCGGGAGAGAAAACAGGGGCGCGGGAGAGAAAACAGGGGCACGGGAGAGAAAACAGGGGCGCGGGAGAGAGAACAGGGGCGCGGGAGAGAGAACAGGGGCGCGGGAGAGAGAACAGGGGCGCGGGAGAGAGAACAGGGGCACGGGAGAGAGAACAGGGGCACGGGAGAGAGAACAGGGGCACGGGAGAGAGAACAGGGGCACGGGAGAGAGAACAGGGGCACGGGAGAGAGAACAGGGGCACGGUAGGCAUCUCUCUCAUUUCACACCGUCUCCUUAACGACGGACAUGUUUCAGUACGAUACAGUUAAUUUCAAACCGUUGACAGAAGCGCUGCGUCGUGGUCCUGAACACAGCCUACCAUCAUCAUCAUCAUCCUCAUCAUCAUCAUGGCACUAAAACCAGAGCAGCAGAGUCGUGGUCCUGAACAGAGCCGAGUCGUAGCAAGCAAAGCCCAGGGAUCACCGUCCGUUCUUAAAAACACUGACGUCGCCUUUUCGCGACGUAAACAAGAGUUUCUAUUUGACAACACUUCAGGCAGGUCCCGUUCCAGAUGCUUCCGGUUGGUUCCUAGUGAAUCCAUCCUUGUUCCACUGCGGUCCAGUCCUCCACCGGGUCAGUAACGGUCCAGUCCCCCCCGGGGUCGGUAACGGUCCAGUCCCCCCCGGGUCGGUAACGGUCCAGUCCCCCCCGGGUCGGUAACGGUCCAGUCAAUAACGGUCCAGUCAGUAACGGUCCAGUCCUCCACCGGGUCAGUAACGGUCCAGUCAAUAACGGUCCAGUCCUCCACCGGGUCGGUAACGGUCCAGUCAAUAACGGUCCAGUCCCCCCCGGGGUCGGUAACGGUCCAGUCCCCCCCGGGUCAGUAACGGUCCAGUCCCCCCCGGGUCAGUAACGGUCCAGUCUCCCCCGGGUCAGUAACGGUCCAGUCUCCCCCGGGUCAGUAACGGUCCAGUCUCCCCCGGGUCAGUAACGGGUCAGUAAUGGCACUUCUCAGGGUUGGUCCAACAGCCUGGGUCUGAAUCUUAACAGCUGUUAGCCUGCUGAACUGAAGCCAAGGCAUUAACUUGGGGGAGCUAACAAGUCUUCAGUAAACAGUCCUGGAAUUAUCCCAAAGCAGGAGAGGGGCUGGUGUAGUCAGUGGGCAGAGCUAAGGUACGGCAGCUCCACCCAUAAUGCACUGGGCUAAGGUCACAGAGGUCGUGACCACUUCUGACCCUGCCCACAUCAGGGGUUAAAGUUCAUAUAGCAGAGAUAUUAAAAAAAAAAAAACAGUCAUGAUCCUGAAGGAUGAUGAAACACAAUCAGUGUGUGUGUGUGUGUGUGUGUGGGGGUCAGAGUUCAUAUGGUCCGUUUGACACAGGGUCGUCCACUGAGGUGGGAACAUAUGGCUGCUCAACCAAUCAGCAUCCUCUAACAUGUCCACACCUAGACACAGAAAGAGAGAGAGAGGAGGAGAGACAAGCGAGACACAAGAAAGAGAGAGCGAAAGACAGAGAGAGAGAGAAAACACAGUGAGGGAUAUUGGAAUGGAUUGCCUGACUGACUAACCCUUCCACUACAAUUUUCACGGCCCCAAAAAUCCAGAGUGGCGUCGCAGUGUCAGAGGCGUCACUACAGACCCUGGUUCGAUCCCGGGCUCUAUCACAACCGGCCGUGAUAGGGCGGCGCACAAUUGGCCCAGCGUCGUCCGGGUUGGGGGGGGAGGGGCACCUGCAGGCUGACCAGUUAAACGGUGUUUCCGCCGACACAGCAACCUUCCCACUAGCCAUGAUUGGCUGAGAUAAUGAGUGGGCUGGACAUGCCGAGAGAGUAGUAGUUCGGAUUGGUCCUGCCAUAUAGAAGGCUUCUCUAUCUGUUUGAGCUCGUCAGUCUGUCUUGGUAAUGUAGUAGAGCUGCGUAAGUGUUGCUCUCCACUUUCUGGAGGAUCAAGUUUUGAAAAAUCUGUGGAAAUUAGAGUCUGAUAGCUAAGGAGAUGGAGGAAACACCUGUCUCCGGGAUUACAUCUUCAAAACUAAGGGCAACCGUGGCGUGGCAUCCGUGACAGGGAGAGGCGUCCAUCAUGGAUCAUGGAUGUAUACGGGUAAGAUAGCUUGUUACAUUUUCAGAUAUUACACGUUUUCUAAUUUUGACAGAAUGGGGUUUUCAUUUCAAGCUAAAGUGCACCGUUAGCUAGCUAGCUACGGGUCUGAAGCUAAAGUGCACUGUUAGCUAGCUAGCUAACGUUAGCCGGCUGGCUCAUUAGCUAACGUUAGCCGGCUGGCUCAUUAGC
rnacentral:lncRNA from 1 species